UGGGUAACCUGCCUUAUAGUGGGGGAUAGCCUUUCGAAAGGAAGAUUAAUACCGCAUAAGAUUGUAGUAUCGCAUGAUAUAGCAAUUAAAGGAGCAAUUCGCUAUAAGAUGGACCCGCGUCGCAUUAGCUAGUUGGUGAGGUAAUGGCUCACCAAGGCGACGAUGCGUAGCCGACCUGAGAGGGUGAUCGGCCACAUUGGGACUGAGACACGGCCCAGACUCCUACGGGAGGCAGCAUG
rnacentral:rRNA from 1 species